rnacentral:rRNA from 1 species
AACGAACGCUGGCGGCAUGCCUAACACAUGCAAGUCGAACGAACUCUUCGGGGUUAGUGGCGGACGGGUGAGUAACACGUGGGAACGUGCCUUUAGGUUCGGAAUAACUCAGGGAAACUUGUGCUAAUACCGAAUAUGCUCUUCGGGGGAAAGAUUUAUCGCCUUUAGAUCGGCCCGCGUCUGAUUAGCUAGUUGGUGAGGUAAAGGCCUACCAAGGCGACGAUCAGUAGCUGGUCUGAGAGGAUGAUCAGCCACAUUGGGACUGAGACACGGCCCAAACUCCUACGGGAGGCAGCAGUGGGGAAUCUUGCGCAAUGGGCGAAAGCCUGACGCAGCCAUGCCGCGUGAAUGAUGAAGGUCUUAGGAUUGUAAAAUUCUUUCACCGGGGACGAUAAUGACGGUACCCGGAGAAGAAGCCCCGGCUAACUCCGUG